rnacentral:rRNA from 3 species
GCUGACGAGUGGCGGACGGGUGAGUAAUGUCUGGGAAACUGCCUGAUGGAGGGGGAUAACUACUGGAAACGGUGGCUAAUACCGCAUAACGUCGCAAGACCAAAGAGGGGGACCUUCGGGCCUCUUGCCAUCAGAUGUGCCCAGAUGGGAUUAGCUUGUUGGUGAGGUAACGGCUCACCAAGGCGACGAUCCCUAGCUGGUCUGAGAGGAUGACCAGCCACACUGGAACUGAGACACGGUCCAGACUCCUACGGGAGGCAGCAGUGGGGAAUAUUGCACAAUGGGCGCAAGCCUGAUGCAGCCAUGCCGCGUGUAUGAAGAAGGCCUUCGGGUUGUAAAGUACUUUCAGCGGGGAGGAAGGUGUUGUGGUUAAUAACCGCAGCAAUUGACGUUACCCGCAGAAGAAGCACCGGCUAACUCCGUGCCAGCAGCCGCGGUAAUACGGAGGGUGCAAGCGUUAAUCGGAAUUACUGGGCGUAAAGCGCACGCAGGCGGUCUGUCAAGUCGGAUGUGAAAUCCCCGGGCUCAACCUGGGAACUGCAUUCGAAACUGGCAGGCUUGAGUCUUGUAGAGGGGGGUAGAAUUCCAGGUGUAGCGGUGAAAUGCGUAGAGAUCUGGAGGAAUACCGGUGGCGAAGGCGGCCCCCUGGACAAAGACUGACGCUCAGGUGCGAAAGCGUGGGGAGCAAACAGGAUUAGAUACCCUGGUAGUCCACGCCGUAAACGAUGUCUACUUGGAGGUUGUGCCCUUGAGGCGUGGCUUCCGGAGCUAACGCGUUAAGUAGACCGCCUGGGGAGUACGGCCGCAAGGUUAAAACUCAAAUGAAUUGACGGGGGCCCGCACAAGCGGUGGAGCAUGUGGUUUAAUUCGAUGCAACGCGAAGAACCUUACCUGGUCUUGACAUCCACAGAAGAAUCCAGAGAUGGAUUUGUGCCUUCGGGAACUGUGAGACAGGUGCUGCAUGGCUGUCGUCAGCUCGUGUUGUGAAAUGUUGGGUUAAGUCCCGCAACGAGCGCAACCCUUAUCCUUUGUUGCCAGCG